rnacentral:rRNA from 1 species
UGCCCUUGACAUCCACGGAAUUCUGCAGAGAUGCGGAAGUGCCGCAAGGAGCCGUGAGACAGGUGCUGCAUGGCUGUCGUCAGCUCGUGUUGUGAGAUGUUGGGUUAAGUCCCGUAACGAGCGCAACCCCUGUUCCCAGUUGCCAGCGCGUAGAGGCGGGGACUCUGGGGAGACUGCCGGUGAAGAACCGGAGGAAGGCGGGGACGACGUCAAGUCAUCAUGGCCUUUAUGGGCAGGGCUACACACGUGCUACAAUGGGUCGUACAGAGGGUAGCCAACCCGCGAGGGGGAGCCAAUCCCUGAAAGCGACUCUUGGUCCGGACUGGAGUCUGCAACCCGACUCCACGAAGAUGGAAUCGCUAGUAAUCGCGAAUCAGAAUGUCGCGGUGAAUACGUUCCCGGGCC